rnacentral:rRNA from 1 species
AGGGCACACAGUGGAUGCCUUGGCACUAGAAGGCGAUGAAGGACGCGACGAACUGCGAUAAGCUGCGGUUAGCUGUAAGUAGGCUAUGAUCCGCAGAUUUCCGAAUGGGGAAACCCACUUAUGGUUAUGCAUAAGGAUUUUUUAAGUGAAUACAUAGCUUAAAAAAGGCGAUACCCGGAGAACUGAAACAUCUAAGUACCCGGAGGAAAAUAAAGAAAAAUCGAUUCCCUAAGUAGCGGCGAGCGAAACGGGAUCUAGCCCAAACCUAAAUUUAUUUAGGGGUUGUAGGACAUCAUUUAAAGUUACAAAAUGUUUUGAUAGUUGAAAUAGUUGGAAAGCUAUACCAUAGACGGUGAUAGUCCGGUAAACGAAAUUAAAAUAUCUUUUUGAUGGAUCCUGAGUACGGCGGGACACGAGAAAUCCCGUCGGAAUCCACGGGGACCACCCCGUAAGGCUAAAUACUAACUAGUGACCGAUAGUGAACAAGUACCGUGAGGGAAAGGUGAAAAGAACCCCGGGAGGGGAGUGAAAUAGAUCCUGAAACUGUGUUGCCUACAAGUAGUCAGAGCCCGUUAAUGGGUGAUGGCGUGCUUUUUGCAGAAUGAGCCGGCGAGUUACGAUGACAUGCAAGGUUAAGGUGAGAAGCCGGAGCCGUAGGGAAACCGAGUCUGAAUAGGGCGAAUUAGUAUGUUGUUGUAGACCCGAAACCAUGUGAUCUACCCAUGAGCAGGUUGAAGUUGGGGUAAUACCUAAUGGAGGACCGAACCACCGCACGUUGAAAAGUGCUUGGAUGACUUGUGGGUAGCGGAGAAAUUCCAAUCGAACAUGGAGAUAGCUGGUUCUCUCCGAAAUAGCUUUAGGGCUAGCCUUACACAUGAGAUUACUGGAGGUAGAGCACUGAUAAUGUGAUGGCCCCAUCAAGGGGUACUGAUCAUUGACAAACUCCGAAUGCCAGAUAAUUGCUUUGUAGGAGUCAGGCUGCGGGUGCUAACGUCCGUAGCCGAGAGGGAAAGAGCCCAGACCACCAGCUAAGGUCCCUAAGUUUAUGUUAAGUGGAAAAGGUUGUUUGUUUGCUAAAACACCCAGGAGGUUGGCUUAGAAGCAGCCAUUCCUUUAAAGAGUGCGUAAUAGCUCACUGGUUGAGUGAACAUGCGCCGAAAAUGUAACGGGGCUAAACAUAACACCGAAGCUGUGGAAUAUAUUUAUAUAUUGGUAGGAGAGCGUUCUAAUCAGCGUUGAAGCUGUACCGUAAGGAGCAGUGGAGUGAUUAGAAGUGAGAAUGCCGGCGUAAGUAACGAAAGAUAGGUGAGAAUCCUAUCCACCGAACAUCUAAGGUUUCCUGGGGAAGGCUCGUCCUCUCAGGGUUAGUCAGGACCUAAGGCGAGGCAGAAAUGCGUAGUCGAUGGACAACAGGUCAAUAUUCCUGUACUAGUUAUCAUUGCGAUGGAAUGACGGAGAAGGAUAGUCAAACCCCAUUAUUGGAUUUGGGGUCAAAUAGUAAGGCUUGUAUGUUGGUAAAUCCGCAUGCUUUAAGGUUGAGCUAUGAUGAGGAGCACUUUGGUGCGAAGUUGAUGUGUUCAUGCUUCCAAGAAAAGUUUCUAAGCUUAAAUGAUAACUACCUGUACCAAAACCGACACAGGUAGAUGGGUUGAGUAUACUAAGGUGAGCGAGAGAACUCUUGUUAAGGAACUCGGCAAAAUAGCCCCGUAACUUCGGGAGAAGGGGCGCUUUUUCAAAUUAUUGGAAGAGCCGCAGUGAAAUGGCCCAAGCGACUGUUUAUCAAAAACACAGGUCUGUGCUAAACCGUAAGGUGAUGUAUACGGGCUGACGCCUGCCCGGUGCUGGAAGGUUAAAAGGAGAUGUUAGACAAUUCAUUUGUCGAAGCUUUGAAUUGAAGCCCCAGUAAACGGCGGCCGUAACUAUAACGGUCCUAAGGUAGCGAAAUUCCUUGUCGGGUAAGUUCCGACCCGCACGAAAGGCGUAACGAUUUGGGCACUGUCUCAACAAGAGACUCGGUGAAAUCAUGGUACGAGUGAAAACGCUCGUUACCCGCGACAGGACGAAAAGACCCCGUGGAGCUUUACUACAGCUUGAUAUUGGGUUUUGUUAUAUUUUGUACAGCAUAGGUGGGAGACUUUGAAACUAGGACGUCAGUUUUAGUUGAGUCAUCAUUGGGAUACCACCCUUAAUAUAAUAAAAUCCUCACCUGCUACCGUAAUCCGGUAGAGGGACAGUGUCUGGUAGGUAGUUUGACUGGGGCGGUCGCCUCCUAAAAGGUAACGGAGGCGCCCAAAGGUUCCCUCAAGAUGGUCGGAAAUCAUCUUUAGAGUGCAAAGGCAUAAGGGAGCUUGACUGCGAGAGCUACAACUCGAGCAGGUACGAAAGUAGGGCUUAGUGAUCCGGCGGUGCCAUGUGGACGGGCCGUCGCUCAACGGAUAAAAGCUACCCCGGGGAUAACAGGCUGAUCUCCCCCAAGAGUUCACAUCGACGGGGAGGUUUGGCACCUCGAUGUCGGCUCAUCGCAUCCUGGGGCUGUAGUCGGUCCCAAGGGUUGGGCUGUUCGCCCAUUAAAGCGGUACGCGAGCUGGGUUCAGAACGUCGUGAGACAGUUCGGUCUCUAUCCGUCGUGGGCGUUAGAUAUUUGCAAGGAGCUGUCCUCAGUACGAGAGGACCGGGAUGGACACACCUCUGGUGCACCAGUUGUCACGCCAGUGGCAUAGCUGGGUAGCUACGUGUGGACGGGAUAAACGCUGAAAGCAUCUAAGCGUGAAGCCCUCCUUAAGAUGAGAUAUCUAUUACGUAAGUUAAAAGACUCCUUAUAGACGAUGAGGUUGAUAGGCAGGAUGUGUAAGCAUAGUGAUAUGUUAAGCUGACCUGUACUAAUAAGUCGAAGCCUUGUUU